rnacentral:rRNA from 1 species
UUUAACGGCCGCGGUAUCCUAACCGUGCAAAGGUAGCAUAAUCACUUGUCCCCUAAAUAGGGACUGGUAUGAACGGCUAAAUGAGGACUAAACUGUCUCUUGCGACUGGCCAAUGAAAUUGAUUUUCCAGUACAAAAGCUGGAAUAUACCCAUAAGACGAGAAGACCCUGUGGAGCUUCAAAACCAAAUCACCCAAUUUUUAGUUGGGGCGACUUCGGAAUAUAGUAAAACUUCCAAAAUAAUCAAGAUUAACACACCAAAGUAUAGACCCAGCAUGUCUGACCAAUGAACCAAGUUACCCCAGGGAUAACAGCGCAAUCUCCUUUUAGAGUCCAUAUCGACAAGGGGGUUUACGACCUCGAUGUUGGAUCAGGACACCCCAAUGGUGCAGCCGCCAUUAAAGGUUCGUUUGUUCAACGAUUAAAGUCCUAC